AAGUCGAACGAGAGAAUUGCUAGCUUGCUAAUAAUUCUCUAGUGGCGCACGGGUGAGUAACACGUGAGUAACCUGCCCCCGAGAGCGGGAUAGCCCUGGGAAACUGGGAUUAAUACCGCAUAGUAUCGAAAGAUUAAAGCAGCAAUGCGCUUGGGGAUGGGCUCGCGGCCUAUUAGUUAGUUGGUGAGGUAACGGCUCACCAAGGCGAUGACGGGUAGCCGGUCUGAGAGGAUGUCCGGCCACACUGGAACUGAGACACGGUCCAGACACCUACGGGUGGCAGCAGUCGAGAAUCAUUCACAAUGGGGGAAACCCUGAUGGUGCGACGCCGCGUGGGGGAAUGAAGGUCUUCGGAUUGUAAACCCCUGUCAUGUGGGAGCAAAUUAAAAAGAUAGUACCACAAGAGGAAGAGACGGCUAACUCUGUGCCAGCAGCCGCGGUAAUACAGAGGUCUCAAGCGUUGUUCGGAAUCACUGGGCGUAAAGCGUGCGUAGGCUGUUUCGUAAGUCGUGUGUGAAAGGCGCGGGCUCAACCCGCGGACGGCACAUGAUACUGCGAGACUAGAGUAAUGGAGGGGGAACCGGAAUUCUCGGUGUAGCAGUGAAAUGCGUAGAUAUCGAGAGGAACACUCGUGGCGAAGGCGGGUUCCUGGACAUUAACUGACGCUGAGGCACGAAGGCCAGGGGAGCGAAAGGGAUUAGAUACCCCUGUAGUCCUGGCAGUAAACGGUGCACGCUUGGUGUGCGGGGAAUCGACCCCCUGCGUGCCGGAGCUAACGCGUUAAGCGUGCCGCCUGGGGAGUACGGUCGCAAGAUUAAAACUCAAAGAAAUUGACGGGGACCCGCACAAGCGGUGGAGUAUGUGGCUUAAUUCGAUGCAACGCGAAGAACCUUACCUGGGCUUGACAUGUAAUGAACAACAUGUGAAAGCAUGCGACUCUUCGGAGGCGUUACACAGGUGCUGCAUGGCCGUCGUCAGCUCGUGUCGUGAGAUGUUUGGUUAAGUCCAGCAACGAGCGCAACCCCUGUUGCCAGUUACCAGCACGUGAAGGUGGGGACUCUGGCGAGACUGCCCAGAUCAACUGGGAGGAAGGUGGGGACGACGUCAGGUCAGUAUGGCCCUUAUGCCCAGGGCUGCACACGUACUACAAUGCCCAGUACAGAGGGGGCCGAAGCCGCGAGGCGGAGGAAAUCCUAAAAACUGGGCCCGGUUCGGACUGUAGGCUGCAACCCGCCUACACGAAGCCGGAAUCGCUAGUAAUGGCGCAUCAGCUACGGCGCCGUGAAUACGUUCCCGGGUCUUGCACACACCGCCCGUCA
rnacentral:rRNA from 1 species